rnacentral:rRNA from 1 species
CCUACGGGGGGCAGCAGUGGGGAAUAUUGGGCAAUGGGCGCAAGCCUGACCCAGCAACGCCGCGUGAAGGAAGAAGGCUUUCGGGUUGUAAACUUCUUUUGUCAGGGAAGAGUAGAAGACGGUACCUGACGAAUAAGCCACGGCUAACUACGUGCCAGCAGCCGCGGUAAUACGUAGGUGGCAAGCGUUGUCCUGAUUUACUGGGUGUAAAGGGCGGGUAGCCGGGUUGACAAGUCAGAUGUGAAAUCCUGCGGCUUAACCGCAGAACUGCAUUUGAAACUGUUGAUCUUGAGUACUGGAGAGGCAGACGGAAUUCCUAGUGUAGCGGUGAAAUGCGUAGAUAUUAGGAGGAACACCAGUGGCGAAGGCGGUCUGCUGGACAGCAACUGACGGUGAGGCGCGAAAGCGUGGGGAGCAAACAGGAUUAGAUACCCCAGUAGUC